UUUAUUAAGAGUUUGAUCCUGGCUCAGGAUGAACGCUGGCGGCGUGCCUAACACAUGCAAGUCGAGCGUGAAGCUUAUGACGGAUACUUCGGUUGACGGAGUAAGUGGAAAGCGGCGGACGGGUGAGUAACGCGUAGGCAACCUGCCCCUUACAGAGGGAUAGCCUCGGGAAACCGGGAUUAAUACCUCAUAAUGCGAAGAGACCACAUGGUGAUUUCGCCAAAGAUUUAUCGGUGAGGGAUGGGCCUGCGUCUGAUUAGCUGGUUGGUGAGGUAACGGCUCACCAAGGCGACGAUCAGUAGCCGACCUGAGAGGGUAAUCGGCCACAUUGGAACUGAGACACGGUCCAGACUCCUACGGGAGGCAGCAGUGGGGAAUAUUGCACAAUGGGCGCAAGCCUGAUGCAGCAACGCCGCGUGAAGGAAGAAGGCCUUUGGGUCGUAAACUUCUGUCCUAGGGGAAGAUAAUGACGGUACCCUUGGAGGAAGCCCCGGCUAACUACGUGCCAGCAGCCGCGGUAAUACGUAUGGGGCGAGCGUUGUCCGGAAUUAUUGGGCGUAAAGGGUACGUAGGCGGUUUAUUAAGUCAGGUGUGAAAGCGUGAGGCUUAACCUCAUUAAGCACUUGAAACUGAUAGACUU
rnacentral:rRNA from 1 species